rnacentral:rRNA from 1 species
UACGAAGGGGGCUAGCGUUGUUCGGAGUUACCGGGCGUAAAGGGCGCGUAGGCGGCGCACCAAGUCAGGCGUGAAAGCCCUGGGCUCAACCCGGGAAUUGCGCUUGAGACUGGUGUGCUUGAGUACGGGAGAGGAUAGUGGAAUUCCCAGUGUAGAGGUGAAAUUCGUAGAUAUUGGGAAGAACACCGGUGGCGAAGGCGGCUAUCUGGACCGUAACUGACGCUGAGGCGCGAAAGCGUGGGGAGCGAACAGG